GACCCUGCAAAAGCUAUUGAAAUUCUCGUAAAGGAUUUGAAGGUCUUUUCUACCUUUAAUGGACAACUCUUUAAGGGAAAUCAACCAGCUGCUAACACUUGACAACUUUAGGUGCUUAUUUGAACAUUUGUAUGUAUUGGGAUAGCAAAUCAACGUUGCAAAAAUCCACAUCAAUUAAAACUCUUAUUUACUGAUCAGCAUGAGAAGCUUCAGUUGAUGCAGUGUUCAUUAUAUAUCAUGAAAUGUGAAAAGAGAUUGAAAUGGAACAUGCAAGAAAAAAAGAGUUGAGCUUAAAGCUAUGUUAAAGAUAUUGACGGCCACCGACGAAACUUGGUGCAGACACGAAGUAGGCUACG